GUUGAAAAAUGUGUUUUCCACUCUUGCAGGUAUCAUUAAGGGGAGCACUGUGUUUAUGGUACCUUUCUGUACUGAUUGGACCAUCUCUAUUGACACAGGUCUUUGCUGAGAAGCUCAGAAAUACCACACUGUCAAAGAGAACAAUGGGAAGAAAUGCCUUCAAAACUCAACUCAUUUGGGAGAAUAUAUUUCAGUGCCUCAGGGCCAUACACAGCAUUCUAUGGCGUAGACUAGUACUGGGGCAUACCCCUCAUAACUCUUGCUUCAGAAAGUCUUCUAUGUAUAUAACACACUCAUACAUGCAUAGAUACACAGAGCACAGCAAGAAUCUAAUAAAAAUAACCAUUAUGAUCUGAUGUCAAACUGAAAUCAUGGAAAAUUUGCUAGAUCUAUGUAUGGAUCCAAAGAAAAUCUCCUGCCACAAGUGAGAAAUAUGUUUAAGACAGAUUCAUUUUUUUGGAAAAAAUAAAUGGAAAAAAAAGAAAAAAAAAGGAGAAAAA
rnacentral:lncRNA from 1 species